rnacentral:sRNA from 1 species
CCCCCAGUCCUCGCCCAGCUCCUCUGGGAAAACACAUCCGCCUAGAGGAGAUGUUUCCAGGAACCCCUGACAACAUGAGGCGUGGAGGCAGGGAAAGUACAUUGAAUCACAGCCACAGAGCGUGGGUUAGAAGCACCCCUAACUGCAUUUCCUGCUGCUCUGCAGAGCGGAGGUGGCUGUCCUACCUCCUGCUCUUUAUCCUGGACCUGGUUAUCUGCCUCAUGGCCUGCCUGGGACUGGCCAAGCGCUCCAAGUGUCUCCUGGCCUCGAUGCUGUGCUGUGGGGCACUGAGCCUGCUCCUCAGUUGGGCAUCCCUGGCCGCUGAUGCCGCUGCGGCAGUGGCCACUGGUGACUUCUGUGUGGCUCCUGACACCUUCAUCCUGAACAUCACGGAGGGCCAGAUCAGCACAGAGGUGACUCGCUACUACCUGUAUUGCAGCCAAAGUGGAAGCAGCCCCUUCCAGCAGAUCCUGACCACCUUCCAGCGCGCACUCACCACCAUGCAGAUCCAGGUCGCGGGGCUGCUGCAGUUUGCCGUACCCCUCU